UCGAACGAAGUCGCCCAAUUGAUUCUUAGUGCUUGCACUAAGAUGAUUUUGGAUCCGACUGAGUGGCGAACUGGUGAGUAACACGUGGGUAACCUGCCCAGAAGAAGGGGAUAACACCUGGAAACAGAUGCUAAUACCGUAUAACAACAAGAACCACAUGGUUCUUGUUUGAAAGCUGGCCUUUGUGCUAGUGCUUCUGGAUGGACCCGCGGCGUAUUAGCUAGUUGGUGAGAUAAUAGCUCACCAAGGCAAUGAUACGUAGCAGACCUGAGAGGGUAAUCUGCCACAAUGGGACUGAGACACGGCCCAUACUCCUACGGGAGGCAGCAGUAGGGAAUCUUCCACAAUGGACGAAAGUCUGAUGGAGCAACGCCGCGUGAGUGAAGAAGGGUUUCGGCUCGUAAAACUCUGUUGUUAGAGAAGAACAGCCGUGAGAGCAACUGCUCACGGUAUGACGGUAUCAACCAGAAAGUCACGGCUAACUACGUG
rnacentral:rRNA from 1 species